rfam:Triticum aestivum genome assembly, contig: Triticum_aestivum_CS42_TGACv1_scaffold_406660_5BL
AUUGUACUUCCUUCGUCCGAAAAUACUUGUCAUCAAAAUGAAUAGAAAGGGAUGUAUUUAAAACCAAAAUACGUCUAGAUACAUCUUCUUUUAUUCAUUUUGAUAAAAAGUAUUUCCGGACGGAGGGAGUAUAAA